GGGAGGCAGCAGUGAGGAAUAUUGGUCAAUGGGCGCAAGCCUGAACCAGCAAUGCCGCGUGUGGGAUGACGGCGUUUCACGUUGUAAACCACUGUCGGACGGGACGAAAAGCGAUAUGAAUCGCCGAGACGGUACCGUCAAAGGAAGGGUCGGCUAACUACGUGCCAGCAGCCGCGGUAAU
rnacentral:rRNA from 1 species